UUAUUGGGUUUAAAGGGAGCGUAGGUGGACUGGUAAGUCAGUUAUGAAAGUUUGCGGCUCAACCGUAAAAUUGCAGUUGAUACUGUCAGUCUUGAGUACAGUAGAGGUGGGCGGAAUUCGUGGUGUAGCGGUGAAAUGCUUAGAUAUCACCAAGAACUCCGAUUGCGAAGGCAGCUCACUGGACUGCAACUGACACUGAUGCUCCAAAGUGUGGGUAUCAAACAGGAUUAGAUACCCUGGUAGUCCACACAGUAAACGAUGAAUACUCGCUGUUGGCGAUAUACAGUAAGCGGCCAAGCGAAAGCAUUAAGUAUUCCACCUGGGGAGUACGCCGGCAACGGUGAAACUCAAAGGAAUUGACGGGGGCCCGCACAAGCGGAGGAACAUGUGGUUUAAUUCGAUGAUACGCGAGGAACCUUACCCGGGCUUAAAUUGCACUGGAAUGAUGUGGAAACAUGUCAGCGAGCACUCACCACUGUGAAGGUGCUGCAUGGCUGUCGUCAGCUCGUGCCGUGAGGUGU
rnacentral:rRNA from 1 species